CGGGGGGCAAAAUUUCUCUUCAAAGCUUGAAUGGUGCCAAUCACAUUAAUUGUGACGCCCAAUAAUGCCUCUUUGGAGAGGUUACGAAUAAUGCAAAAAGUAUGAGACUCCAAGAAAAGAAAAGGGAUGAAAUAAUUAUAGAAAUAUACAUGUCUUAAAGGGGUGCAUCAUGUCGGGUACGGGGGACUAAUGUUCGUGACUCAAUUUUCCCUUUUAAUAGAGGGAAUACGAGCGUGCUA
rnacentral:lncRNA from 1 species